UACGUAGGGUGCAAGCGUUGUCCGGAAUUAUUGGGCGUAAAGAGCUCGUAGGCGGUUUGUCACGUCUGCUGUGAAAACUCGGGGCUUAACUCCGGGCCUGCAGUGGGUACGGGCAGACUAGAGUGCGGUAGGGGAGACUGGAAUUCCUGGUGUAGCGGUGAAAUGCGCAGAUAUCAGGAGGAACACCGGUGGUGUAGACGGCUCAGCUGGACCGUAACUGACGCUGAGACACGAAAGCGUGGGUAGCAAACAGG
rnacentral:rRNA from 1 species